AGGCUGUAGGAAGGUAGGUAGCUGUCACUCUCUGUGAAGAGGUGUCUUGGAGCUGAUAACCCAGUGAGUGAAGGGGAACCAAAAUGGUUGGAAGUAGUUUAGGAAAGGAGCAGUGAGGGCAGACAGAGAAAGCCCAGGGCUGCAGAGCUGAGGGUCCCUGAACUGGAAUCCAGAAAAGAGAGUGGACCUGGGUUCUUCUACAAACCACCAAGGGUGUGGCAUGGAACUGAGGCAGUGAGUGGGAAGACUGCCUAUAAUUGCUGAUGGACUGGACCUUUAAAGGGGAAUGCUGCGUGACCUAGACAGAGGGCUAAGUCAUGAAAGAGACACUGAGGGCCCUGAAGUGAAAGGAGCUGCAGACCAGAGUCAGAGUGAAGGCGUGCAAACCAUGGACAGGGGGGUCAGCCUUGAGAGCUAAUUCCCAGAGGAGGAGGCCCCAGCCCAGUGACACUGAACACGAGGGAGUGGCCCAUGGAUAGUUCUGAAUGAAGCAGCUUCUGGAGCUCUAGGGCCUCCUAAAUCAUCUGUCACUGUAAGCCAGCAUGGAGCCCUUCUUGUAUCCUGCUUUCCCUUGCAGUUUUUUGAGGUGUGGCUUCUUCUCUCCCCUGCCCCCAUCAAAGCACUGCUGAGUGAUCAGCCACUACUGAUACAUUUUGAGAAAUGGUAGACAACCGUCUCGUCUCUUCAAUCAAAGACACAGUGGCACAGCAAUGUCUGGGAGAAGCAAGAGGGAGGGACUGACUGAGGUACUGAACAUGGGUAACAGAACAGUCAACCAUUCCUGAGUCUCAGAGGUCUUGUUUCAAAAAGAUGAAGAUUCUAUGGAAGUCAUAACAGCUUUCUCCUCUUAGACGAGAUACAAGGUGUGAACCUUUACCAGUUGAAAACUUUGUAAACUUUAGCCUGUUAUUGCCAGCUUCCCAGUUUUGUAUGCAGCAGAAUGAUGUGACAGUUUCAUAGAUAUUCAAAUUCAAUCUAAGCAAUACUGAGGGUGCAUGAGAAGUUUGGAUGAAAGGUUGUGUUUUAUUAGACAAGUCUUUUUAUGGACCCAUUCAGGCCCUCCAGUAGCCACUGAUGUCAGAUUGUGUUCUGUGGUUUAUCCAAGGGGGUUGGGUGAGAGUAUAGGAUCCUAUUAAAGAAGUUCUGUAUUAAAAUCACAAAUGAGUUUGAUUCCCCAUAGUUUAAAUUCCAGGGUAUUACUAAUUAAGAGGUUUCUUGGUUUUGGUACUGUUUCUCUCCCUCUGUGUGAAACUUGCAAGCUGCUAAUUGUGUUAGUACAUUCUAAGACAGUCUGUUCUCAAAGAAUUUCUUUGAGAAAACAACUAUUCACACAGAGAGACUCGAAGCAAUCCUCUGUAACAACAGAAACAGCACCCAGAGACUCCCCACCCUUUUGCUAUAUUCAUCUUGCUUAACAGUUGUGAUUUAAAAUAGAGAUAGAGGAUGUAUGUGGAUGGAUGCUUGGUGUGGAUAAUAACUGAAUGAUCAGGGAGGUGCCAGCCUAAAUUCAGUGUCCAUCAGCUGAAGAAGGCGUCAAGUGGAA